GAGCGGAUGACAGGAGCUUGCUCCUGAAUUCAGCGGCGGACGGGUGAGUAAUGCCUAGGAAUCUGCCUGGUAGUGGGGGACAACGUUUCGAAAGGAACGCUAAUACCGCAUACGUCCUACGGGAGAAAGCAGGGGACCUUCGGGCCUUGCGCUAUCAGAUGAGCCUAGGUCGGAUUAGCUAGUUGGUGAGGUAAUGGCUCACCAAGGCGACGAUCCGUAACUGGUCUGAGAGGAUGAUCAGUCACACUGGAACUGAGACACGGUCCAGACUCCUACGGGAGGCAGCAGUGGGGAAUAUUGGACAAUGGGCGAAAGCCUGAUCCAGCCAUGCCGCGUGUGUGAAGAAGGUCUUCGGAUUGUAAAGCACUUUAAGUUGGGAGGAAGGGUUGUAGAUUAAUACUCUGCAAUUUUGACGUUACCGACAGAAUAAGCACCGGCUAACUCUGUGCCAGCAGCCGCGGUAAUACAGAGGGUGCAAGCGUUAAUCGGAAUUACUGGGCGUAAAGCGCGCGUAGGUGGUUCGUUAAGUUGGAUGUGAAAUCCCCGGGCUUAACCUGGGAACUGCAUUUGAAACUGGCAGGCUUGAGUCUUGUAGAGGGGGGUAGAAUUCCAGGUGUAGCGGUGAAAUGCGUAGAGAUCUGGAGGAAUACCGGUGGCGAAGGCGGCCCCCUGGACAAAGACUGACGCUCAGGUGCGAAAGCGUGGGGAGCAAACAGGAUUAGAUACCCUGGUAGUCCACGCCGUAAACGAUGUCGACUUGGAGGUUGUUCCCUUGAGGAGUGGCUUCCGGAGCUAACGCGUUAAGUCGACCGCCUGGGGAGUACGGCCGCAAGGUUAAAACUCAAAUGAAUUGACGGGGGCCCGCACAAGCGGUGGAGCAUGUGGUUUAAUUCGAAGCAACGCGAAGAACCUUACCAGGCCUUGACAUCCAAUGAACUUUCCAGAGAUGGAUUGGUGCCUUCGGGAGCAUUGAGACAGGUGCUGCAUGGCUGUCGUCAGCUCGUGUUGUGAAAUGUU
rnacentral:rRNA from 1 species